rnacentral:rRNA from 1 species
UACAGAGGGGGCAAGCGUUGUUCGGAAUUACUGGGCGUAAAGGGCGCGUAGGCGGCCUUCUAAGUCGAACGUGAAAUCCCCGGGCUCAACCCGGGAACUGCGUCCGAUACUGGUGGGCUUGAAUUCGGGAGAGGGAUGUGGAAUUCCAGGUGUAGCGGUGAAAUGCGUAGAUAUCUGGAGGAACACCGGUGGCGAAGGCGGCAUCCUGGACCGAUAUUGACGCUGAUGCGCGAAAGCCAGGGGAGCAAACGGG